AGACCCGAAACCCGGUGAUCUAGCCAUGGGCAGGUUGAAGGUUGGGUAACACUAACUGGAGGACCGAACCGACUAAUGUUGAAAAAUUAGCGGAUGACCUGUGGCUGGGGGUGAAAGGCCAAUCAAACCGGGAGAUAGCUGGUUCUCCCCGAAAGCUAUUUAGGUAGCGCCUCGUGAAUUCAUCUCCGGGGGUAGAGCACUGUUUCGGCUAGGGGGCCAUCCCGGCUUACCAACCCGAUGCAAACUGCGAAUACCGGAGAAUGUUAUCACGGGAGACACACGGCGGGUGCUAACGUCCGUCGUGAAGAGGGAAACAACCCAGACCGCCAGCUAAGGUCCCAAAGUCAUGGUUAAGUGGGAAACGAUGUGGGAAGGCCCAGACAGCCAGGAUGUUGGCUUAGAAGCAGCCAUCAUUUAAAGAAAGCGUAAUAGCUCACUGGUCGAGUCGGCCUGCGCGGAAGAUGUAACGGGGCUAAACCAUGCACCGAAGCUGCGGCAGCGACACUGUGUGUUGUUGGGUAGGGGAGCGUUCUGUAAGCCUGUGAAGGUGUGUCGUGAGGCAUGCUGGAGGUAUCAGAAGUGCGAAUGCUGACAUAAGUA
rnacentral:rRNA from 4 species